GUGCCAGCAGCCGCGGUAAUACGAGGGGUGCUAGCGUUGUCCGGAAUCACUGGGCGUAAAGGGUGCGUAGGUGUCCUGGUAAGUUGUUUGUUAAAUAUAUCGGCUUAACCGAUAAGCUGCAGACAAAACUACCGGGAUAGAGUUUAGGAGAGGAAAGUAGAAUUUCUGGUGUAGCGGUGACAUGCGUAGAUAUCAGAAGGAACACCAAAUGCGAAGGCAACUUUCUAGACUAAGACUGACACUGAGGCACGAAAGCGUGGGUAGCAAACAGGAUUAGAUACCCUGGUAGUCCACGCUGUAAACGAUGAGUACUAGGUGUUGGGGGAAUCGACCCCUUCGGUACCGUAGCUAACGCGAUAAGUACUCCGCCUGGGGACUACGACCGCAAGGUUGAAACUCAAAGGAAUUGACGGGGACCCGCACAAGCGGUGGAACAUGUGGUUUAAUUCGAUGCAACGCGAAGAACCUUACCUGGGUUUGACAUGUACGUUGUAAUGCUUUGAAAGC
rnacentral:rRNA from 1 species